UACGGGGGGGGCAAGCGUUGUUCGGACUUACUGGGCGUAAAGCGUGCGCAGGCGGUUUUGUAAGCCAGAUGUGAAAUCCCCGGGCUUAACCUGGGAACUGCAUUUGUGACUGCAUGGCUGGAGUGCGGCAGAGGGGGAUGGAAUUCCGCGUGUAGCAGUGAAAUGCAUAGAUAUGCGGAGGAACACCGAUGGCGAAGGCAAUCCCCUGGGCCUGCACUGACGCUCAUGCACGAAAGCGUGGGGAGCAAACAGG
rnacentral:rRNA from 1 species